GCACGUCUGGGCCUCGGCCUUUCUGGAGCUGCUGACACAUCGGCCGUCUACUCUCUUCUGCGAGAACACAGAUCGGGGCUGCUCUGGCUUCCGAAAGGUGCGGCCAAACAGCUCUGUGUGCAUCGGGGCCCCGAGCAUCGCCUGAGGAAAACAAGCGUUUUCUUCUAAGACCUCCUCUAAAGCCUCCUAUUUACGGAAAUGUAACUGGUCUCUCUUCCCAUGUGCGAAGUGCUAAGGCUGCACAGAUAUGCGCAGUCACUGGGUGCCAACAGGCUCCAUGCCCAAUGUGGACUCAUGACACACGACCC